CCUACGGGGCGCAGCAGUAGGGAAUAUUGCUCAAUGGGGGAAACCCUGAAGCAGCAACGCCGCGUGGAGGAUGAAGGUUUUCGGAUUGUAAACUCCUUUUGUUAGAGAAGAUAAUGACGGUAUCUAACGAAUAAGCACCGUCUAACCUCGCGCCAGAAGCCGCGGUAAUACGGAGGGCGCAAGCGUUAUGCGGAAUCUCUGGGCGUAAAGAGAGCGUAGGCGGGAUAGCAAGUCAGAUGUGAAAUCCUAUGGCUUAACCAUAGAACUGCAUUUGAAACUGUUAUUCUAGAGUAUGGGAGAGGUAGGUGGAAUUCUUGGUGUAGGGGUGAAAUCCGUAGAGAUCAAGAGGAAUACUCAUUGCGAAGGCGGCCUGCUAGAACAUAACUGACGCUGAUGCUCGAAAGCGUGGGGAGCAAACAGGAUUAGAUACCCUGGUAGUC
rnacentral:rRNA from 1 species